UCCAGCUCCAAUAGCGUAUACUAAUGCUGUUGCUGUUAAAAAGCUCGUAGUUCGACAAGGAUUGAGGCUGGUGCUGCGGUCAGUGGGCGUAACUUGUUACCUCAUUCACUAAGCGCCAUAUGGCCUCGAUUCUGAAAUGAAGGUGAAACCCGGAUGAAGCGCUCUCACUGAGCGUGGAGUCGACUUCGCACUCAACAUGUGCACAAGGGUUUGCCUUUGUGAUACCGUGAACAAAACAGCGUGCUCAAAGCAAGUGAUACUGCUCGAAUGUUCAAGCAUGGAAUAUCAAGGAAGCGACCUUUAUGCUAAUAUUUGCUGGUUUCUGUAGUUGAUUUGGGGAAUUGGACUUGAGAUUAUCGAAGGGUUUCAGUUCCUUCGGGUUCUGUUACCUUCUCGAAGCUCUGGUUUAACGGUAUUAACAGGGGUGACGGAGCUGUACGUAUUGGCACGCGAGAGGUGAAAUUCUUAGACCGUGUCAAGACGAACCUAAGCGAAGGCAUUCAGCAAGUAUACCUUCACUAAUCAAGAACGAGAGUGCAUGGAUUGAAGAUGAUCAGAUACCGUCGUAGUCUGCUACUGUAAACGAUGCGAACUCGGGAUCAGCUAUUGCUUAUCAUCUGAUUACUAGGCUGGGACCAUUCUACCUUCCUAGCGCGAAGGCUUUAAGUUUAAGCGUUCAGGGGGGAGUACAGUUGCAAGGCUGAAACUUAAAGGAAUUGACGGAAUGACACCGCAAGGCGUGGAUGCUGCGGCUUAAUUUGACUCAACACGGGGAAUCUCACCAGGUCAGGACGCAUGUUGGAUUGACAGAUUGAAAGCUCUUUCUUGAUUAUGUGUAUGGUGGUGCAUGGCCGCUCCUGGUUGGUGGAGUGAUUUGUCUGGUUGAUUCCGUUAACGAACGAGAUCUUGACUAUUUAAUGACAGCUGGAUCGACAUGUAGUUCAAUGCUCUUGCGCUUGCGUACUGAUGUUGGAUGAGAUCCUGUCUUGUACUUAAUAGGACGUCGCAUGUUUACAAUGCGAGGAAGUGCGAGCCAAUAGC
rnacentral:rRNA from 1 species